rnacentral:rRNA from 1 species
CCGACCUCGGAUCAGACGAGACUACCCGCUGAACUUAAGCAUAUCAGUAAGCGGAGGAAAAGAAACUAACAAGGAUUCCCUCAGUAACGGCGAG